GUGCUCGCUUCUGUAGCACAUAGUCUAAAAUUGGAAUGACAGAAAGAAGAUUAGCAUGGCCCUUGCACAAGGAUGACAGGCACAUUCGUGACAUGUGUCAUAUUUUU